AGGCACUCUUGAAACAAGGCCAUCAUGGAGUUAGAAGACACGUCCUCUGGAGAUGGAAACUUCUCAGGCACCCAAGGACCUAUUGCUGACCAAACCUUCGGCGAAAGAAAGGAAAAGCACCAAGUAUUCUCUAAAUUAUUGGACGACACGACAUACUUUCGGAAGCAUUUCCAAGAAGAAUAACUUGCAGAUGAGGUGUGCCAGACCCGCAACCAGGACUGGCCGGCGGUCGCCAUCAACCGCCACAACUGCCUGGAGCCCCCGCCUUGGACGUCUCCCUGUCCACGGCUUAU